UACAGAGGGGGCAAGCGUUGUUCGGAAUUACUGGGCGUAAAGGCGCGUAGGCGGCCUGUUAAGUCGAACGUGAAAUCCCCGGGCUCAACCCGGGAACUGCGUCCGAUACUGGCAGGCUUGAAUCCGGGAGAGGGAUGCGGAAUUCCAGGUGUAGCGGUGAAAUGCGUAGAUAUCUGGAGGAACACCGGUGGCGAAGGCGGCAUCCUGGGACCGGUAUUGACGCUGAGGCGCGAAAGCCAGGGGAGCAAACGGGG
rnacentral:rRNA from 1 species